GACGAACGCUGGCGGCGUGCCUAAUACAUGCAAGUCGAACGGACUGAGUGGGAGCUUGCUCUUUUUCGGUCAGCGGCGGACGGGGGAGUAAAACGUGGGCAACCUGCCCGCAAGACCGGGAGACCUCCGGGGAAAAGGAGCGCUAACAGGGUAAAAGCGAAGACCGCAUGGUCUAGGGUUGAAAGGCGGCGCCCGCUGCCACUUGCGGAUGAGCGCGCGGGGCAUUAGCGAGUUGGUGGGGUAACGGCUCACCAAGGCGACGAUGCGUAGCCGGCCUGAGAGGGUGAACGGCCACACUGGGACUGAGACACGGCCCAGACUCCUACGGGAGGCAGCAGUAGGGAAUCUUCCGCAAUGGACGAAAGUCUGACGGAGCGACGCCGCGUGAGCGAAGAAGGCCUUCGGGUUGUAAAGCUCUGUUGUGCGGGACGAAGGAGCGCCGUGUGAAGAGUGCGACGCAGUGACGGUACCUGACUAGGAAGCCCCGGCUAACUACGUG
rnacentral:rRNA from 1 species